CACAGAGCUAACUUUCAAGUGUCACAGCAGAGGGUCUUAAUUUCCAUGCAAAAUAUUACGUCUGUGGCUGAUAUCAUGCUGGUUUGAGACGUUGCUGGCCCGGGAAAGAUCUCCCAGCACUGCAAACCACAACUGCAGGUUUCAGCUACAAACCACCCGCAACAGAAUAUCUUUGAAAGAACACCGAAGGUCCGGAUCCCUGUGGAACAUUACUGCAUCGCUACCAAUAUCAAAUGGAAGAAGGAAACGCUUCAAGUAUAAGCACUGAUUCAUAUGCCAAGGCAAGACCUGAAGCAUGGAAGUAUCCGAGCAUGGCAGGAAGAUCUGGGACUGACAGAUGAUGACAGUGGGAGAAAAUUUAUAAAAGGAUUAAUCAGGUUCCCCUGAAUAAU